GACGAACGCUGGCGGCGUGCCUAAUACAUGCGGGUCGAGCGGACUUAAAAAGCUUGCUUUUUAAGUUAGCGGCGGACGGGUGAGUAACACGUGGGCAACCUGCCUGUAAGACUGGGAUAACUUCGGGAAACCGGAGCUAAUACCGGAUAAUCCUUUUCUACUCAUGUAGAAAAGCUGAAAGACGGUUUACGCUGUCACUUACAGAUGGGCCCGCGGCGCAUUAGCUAGUUGGUGAGGUAACGGCUCACCAAGGCGACGAUGCGUAGCCGACCUGAGAGGGUGAUCGGCCACACUGGGACUGAGACACGGCCCAGACUCCUACGGGAGGCAGCAGUAGGGAAUCUUCCGCAAUGGACGAAAGUCUGACGGAGCAACGCCGCGUGAGUGAUGAAGGUUUUCGGAUCGUAAAACUCUGUUGUUAGGGAAGAACAAGUACGAGAGUAACUGCUCGUACCUUGACGGUACCUAACCAGAAAGCCACGGCUAACUACGUG
rnacentral:rRNA from 1 species